UGUGAUUUUAGUUUUCAGCAGAAACAGACUUUUUUGGGAGUGGGGGUGGGGAGUGGCUCUGCACCUGCACUGGACAGGGGAGCAAAAGUUCAUGAUGCAUUCAGGGAAAAUUGGUGUGUCCAACUAUACUGAAAUAAAAACAUCUAAAGAGGUUUAUUUGUGAAUGCUAUGAGUUUUCUGUAAAAUGAUUAUUGCUUAAAUAUUGCACAUGAAAUUAGCUCAUGCCUGAAGUCUGUUAAGACAUUAUCAGCUGGAAAACCCUAAAUUUUUAAUGUAUCAAGUUUGCAGUCUCAUUGUUCGUGAAAGCAGCAUGUGCAUUGUAGAUGGAAAGUACCGGAGCUGCCCUGGAUCUCUCCAACUUUGUCAGUCUUUGACUAAUUCUACAGAGGAAAAGAGGAAUAACUCCACAGCCCAAAAAGACAUGCAGAGCCAAUGCCCCUCAGGAGCUGGGAUUCCAGAGGAUUUCAAUGAGAAAGAGAAAACAGCAUCUUUCAAAAGAUAAAAGCUGAGAAACAAAAGCAAUGGGCUCGACCAAAGUUCUGAAGAUGAACCCACCUUGUGCACCCAAAGGCCUACAGGGAAAUCAAAGAAGAAGCAGACCAACAAAGGAACACCCACCCAUUCCCCUUCCCUGCUCACUGUCCAUGGUUUUACUCAAGAUCAUCCAGAUAUGAUGAGCCAAGAACCUUCAGGAGCUGAGUGGUCUAAGGAGUCAAAUGGAAAGGACAAAACAGACAUGGAUCAACAGGAUUUAACCUCUAAGAAAUUCAACCGAAAGAUUUGGAGCAAAUCUGGGAAAGAAGCGGUUUGGCAACAGCUUGGUCGGUACAUCACUCUUGAAAGAGUUCCUGGUAAAAUGCUGUGUGUGAAAGCACUCAGUACAGAGACAGCACUUUAGAACAGAAGUUGGAAAGAUGUAAAAAACUGCAUCUAUAACCACAUCCCUGAUCAAAAAAGAAAAAGGCUGUAGUUUUUGCGUUAAAAGCAGCAGGAGCUGAGUUAAUGCAUGUAAUGUUACAAGCAGAGCAUUUAAUGAUACCUAGUUAUUUUUAUUUUAUGAGACAUUGGAAAUAUGUUAAAAACUAUAAUUAUAACAGCAUUGCAGAUCAAAAAUGUUACAAGCAGAGCAUUUUAUGGUACCUAAAGAUAUUUAAAUUUUAUUACAUGUUGGAAAGAUGUUAAAAACUAUAAGUAGAACAGCAUCACAGUAGCAUUGCAGGGAUUAAUCGUUUUGACUAUUAACCCUGGUUAACCCCAAGUAAAUAGAUCUUCAAAACCAUCAAACUAAAACAAAAAGACAAUAGCGUAACUCGUAAGUACAAAAACAAAACUGAAACUGAACACGCGCCCGCAGCAGAAGCAUGAUCAGUGAAAACAACCAUCGGGACUCCUCCAUUUCUACCUCGGAAGAGGUUGAAUUCUCCUGUGUGGGAAUAGUUUAGAUAUAUUAGAUAUCAUCCCACACAGGAGACUUCAACCGCUUCUUAGGUGGAAAUGGAGGAGUCCCGAAGGUUGUUGUCACUGGUUCUGCUUCUGCUGCGUGAGCACGUUCAGUUUCACUUUUGUCUUUGUCCAUGAGGGUCAUGCCAUAGUCCUUUUUUUAUUGUUGGUGUGGUAGACAUCUUUAAGGGGGGUUAUCAGGGGUUAAUAGUCAAACUGGUUAAUCUCUGCAAGCCUACAUCACAGCUCAAAAAAGAAAAAAAACUGUAGUUGAUAUGUUUUAUUUUAAAAGCAGCAGAAGCUGAGUUAAUGCAUGCAAUGUUAAAUGCAGAGCAUUUAAUGGUACCUAAAGUUGUAUUAAUUUAUUAGAAGUUAGAAAUAUGUCAGAACUACUAGUAGAGCAGCAUCACAGCUCAAAAAGAAAAUAAAAACAAUAUUUGAAAAUUUUCUUUUUCAAAGCAGAAGGAUCUGAGUUCAUUUAUGUAAUUUUAUGCACCGUGUUUACUUUAUUUGGUAUCUAAAAUUUAUAUUUUAUCAGCAGAUGAAUUAGAAAGAUUUUAAAAACUGCAUGUAUAACUGCAUUUUAGCUCAAAAAAGAAAAAAGUAAACAUAUUCAAUUUUAAAAGAAACAGGAGCUGAGUUCAUAUAUGUAUGUAAUGUUUAAAGGUGCCUAAAGUUUAUUUUAGUUCAACUGUUGCAGUCACAAUUGCAAAGUUUAAUGAAAUCCUUUUUACUUCAAUAAAAUAACUACUUUGUAGUAAUUUCUGUCAUGUUUCCUGUUAUUUAUGUUCUGUAACUAAGAUUUACAGGGAGCUGCACGGCUGAAUGCAGUUUGAAUCCAGCUUAGUCUUUAUGGUGGUUGCAUAUUUUUUCUAUGUAUGUCUGGGUUCCUCCAGGAUAAUUUGAUACCUUUCACCAUCCAAAAUCAUUCUAUGUUUAUUAGUCGAUGAGCCGAUACCAAUAUUUGAUAUUAAUAUCACUGCUUCUGCAGUACUGCAGACGUUGUACCGAUCUGUCGUGGUGAAGAGAGAGCUGAGCCAGAAGGCAAAGCUCUCGAUUUACCGGUCGAUCUAUGUUCCUACCCUCACCUAUGGUCAUGAGUUUAGGGUAGUGACUGAAAGAACGAGAUUGCAGAUACAAAUGGCCAAAAAUAGUUUUCUCCGCAGGGUGGCUGGGCUCUCCCUUAGAGACCCGCUGCUCCUCCACAUCGAGUGGAGCCAGUUGAGGUGGCUAGGGCUUCUGGUUAGGAUGCUUCCUGGACGCCUCCCUGGUGAGGUUUUCCGGGCACGUCCAACCGGGAGAAGGCCUAAAGGAAGACCCAGGACACGCUGGAGAUACUAUGUCUCAUGGCUGGCCAGGGAACGCUUUGGGAUUCCCCCGGAGGAGCCGGCCCAAGUGGCUGGGGAGAGGGAAGUCUGGGCUCCCUUGUUUAGGCUACUGCCCCCACGACCCAACCCCGGAUAAGCGGACGACAAUGGAUGGAUGGAUGGAUGAUAUCACUGUUAUGGCCGAUAGCUGAUAUUUGCUGAUACAGAUAUACUGACAUGCUUCUAAAAUAAGCAAAUUUUGCACUGAUUGAAAAUUAUUAAAGCUGAAUUUACGUUGUUAUGUACACACACCACACACAUUUACGCCUAUGAGAAUAUUAAAAUAACUGUCACAUGGCUAAACAAAUACACACCACCCCCCUAACCAUCUGAAACAGAUAAACAAAUGGAAACAAAAUGGAAAAAAAAUAUUUGUUGUUAAUAUUGACCAAGUUUUAUUUAUCGGACCAAUACCAAUAUGUUAAAAAUAACUUAUUGAUGCAGAUUGUGCAUCCCUAAUGUUGAUGAUUGUCUGUCCUUUUAGUUUGCAGCAUUUGUGUGGUGCCUCGAUGAACUGUUACCUGCUCAGACUUCACCGCACAACUUGGAAUAGGGAAUUACAGAAAAAAUCCUUAUCUAAUAUUAUUUAAGCUAAAUCCUGGUGAAGGUUCUCCGAAAUGCAGUUUGUGUUAUUCCUUGUAGAUUUGGGUUGAGGCAACUGAGUUGUUUUGGUUAUUUGAAUGUUUCACUUCUUAUUUG